CGCGUGCUAAUACAUGCAAGCUCGAGAGAGCUGAAUUCAAAGAUUCCUUCGGGAUGAUUUGUUGGACGCUAGCGGCGGAUGGGUGAGUAACACGUGGGCAAUCUGCCCUAAAGACUGGGAUACCACUUGGAAACAGGUGCUAAUACCGGAUAACAACAUGAAUCGCAUGAUUCAAGUUUGAAAGGCGGCGUAAGCUGUCACUUUAGGAUGAGCCCGCGGCGCAUUAGCUUGUUGGUGGGGUAA
rnacentral:rRNA from 1 species